GAUCCUAUCACUGAUACAAGUACAGGACUUUUCCCAUAGCAUUAAAACAUAUUUCUUUUUCAAAAGGCACAAUUGCUGCAGACCGCUGUGAAUCUUCUGCCAAUAUAUUUUAGCUCAAUAUAUUAGGUAUCUAGAAACUAUUCUGUUCUAAAUUUAUUAUGGAACAAGACCUUCUGGUAAAGGUGAAAUAAACAUGUAGAUUUCCAAAUAUCUCCAUGAACUUUUCAGAUAAAGCAACAAAAUAAAUUAUAUAUUAUUUGUCAGCCCUUAGAAGAUGGAGUUUCUGUUAAAUUUAAUUACUCCAGCCUAGCUUUAAAUCAUGAAAGACUUUCGAUGAAGGUGGCUCCCACUAAAUGGAACAAAUUUCCCUAAGUGCUUGCUGGGUAAAAGAAUGUUGACCAGGUGAGUGUGGCUAGAAACUGAAAGCUUUGAAAUAAAGUGGCUGCAUGUGGAAGAUUUGCUUAUUUAUUGAUUUAAUUCCUGAGGUUGGUGAUUUAAUUCCAUGGGUUUUCUUCCUACUUUAUAUUCUGAAUUAAAACAGAGAUUUAUUAUUUCCUUCUAAUUCAAAACCAAAGCAGGCAAAACCAAUCAGGAUGACUUUGAUUUACCCCUAAUUUUUCAGGAAACUGAAACUGAAGGCUCUACUCAGCUGCUGUUUAGUCAGCGUUGCACAUACAACUCCAUCAAAGGACAUAAACCAACCAACCCACGAGUUAAUACAUAUCCACUACCACAGAACAUAUAAAAUACACCUAAUAAAACUGGAUAGGAAGAGUUCCGAGAAAGCCUCUUCCUGCAUUUGCUGUGUUUCAAAUGUCCUCCACUCAGAGUAAUCCAUAUAUGAAGGCAGCAUAUGUUAGAGGGCAUGUACUGAUCAUCUUCAACUUGCUCCUCAGACAAAAACAGAUGAAAAUGUCAUAUUAGUUAAGGUCACACAGUCAGAAGUCCAAAAUCAAGGUGUCCACUGGGUUGGUUCCUUCUGAGGGCCCUGCUGGAGAAUCUGAUUCGUGCUUCUCUCCUAGCUUCUGGUGGUUGCUUGCAAUCUUUGGAGUUCCUGGUUUGUAGCUGCAUCACUCCAAUAUCUACCUCCAUCUUCACAUGGCACUCUCUUUUGUGUGUAUGUAUCUCUUCUGUGUCUAUCUCCAAAUCUUUAUAAGGACACUACCAUGGAGGAUUAGGGCCUACUGUAAUCUAGGAUGACCUCAUUUUAACUUGAUUGCAUAUGUAAAAAUGCUACUUCCAAAUAGUGUUCAUAGGUACAGAUGUUAGGAUUUCAAAAUAUAUUUUCAAGAGAUGCAAUUCAAACCACAUAAGCCAAUAUAUUAAUUAUGCUUUAAAACAUGCUGUGCCAUAGUUUCUACUAAUUGCAGCUGAAUAUAUUCCAUUCCAGACUCCCUUUCUUACCCUGCCUUCCAAAUUUGGGGUGCUUUAUAUUCUCUUAGAAAACUUGGCCUUUGCCAUCAUAGUACUUAAUUAACUGUGUGCUCGUUAUUUUGAUUUGUGAUUUUUAUUAGUCUUAGCAUGUACUUGGAGAAUUCCUUUUGCCUAUCCUGAUCACAAUUCUAUCUACAACACUUAGUAGAAAACGUGACUUAUAUACUUCAUGAUUUAUAAGUAUUUUCUGAAUAAAUAAAUUAAAUAGAAUUUAAGAAAUAUUUAAAAGUAAGAAGUGCCUUUAAAUAAUACCACUACCCAUGGGAAAAUACUGUUAAUAUAUAUUGCGCAAAUCCUAGCACUUUUAUGCAAAGUUUUUUAUUCCAUAAUUGUCAUAUUAAUUAUAAAAGUAAUAAUACAAAUUUUUAAUGUUAUUGCAGGUCUUCACAAGCUUUAAAAAAUUAUGUAAAUUCCAUUGAGUGA
rnacentral:lncRNA from 1 species